GAUCCUUUGAGAGGAUAUCCCUCGAGGUCUUACGGAAUGGGUCACUCGACACCUACGCCGCCAGCCUGAGAGCCCUGCACCUCAACUCCCUGCUGAGAUUACGAACGAUCGAGCCGGGCGUCUUCGACAGCCUCCAAGAACUGCGCGAAAUUUCGAUCCAAAAGUCCAUCCUUCUCCAGAACGUGCCACCGGGGGUCCUGCGGGGCAUGCCCAAGCUGAGCGUUCUGCGGAUUACCCACUCUGGGCUGCAAGAGGUUCCUUACGUGCACGACCUGAACCCGACCACCUAUAUUGGAAUGCUAGACUUCGACAGCAAUCGCAUUGGGAAGAUCAACACCAGGGCCAUCCGAGUCAAAGCAGGAACACUAAUCCUGAAUCACAACGCUAUCACUACCAUUCACGGAGGUGCAUUUGAGGGUUCUAAGAUAGCCGAACU